rnacentral:lncRNA from 1 species
AGGUGGAAAACCUGGAGGAGGGGAGGGAGGAGUGGAGGGGGCUCUGGAAUUCCCUGGCAGCACCCCCACCCAGCCCCGCUCACCCCCCUGCCCUGAGCUGCCCCUUUGAUGAUUGCUAUGACAGCAAUCACUGGAUCACUCACUCUGCUCUGAGUCCGGGGCUUCUCCCUGCCCCUGCUGUCUUCCUUUGAUCUCCUGGACACCACCUUGUUUUCCAGCACAUGGAAACCCCUGGGAAUGCUGGCUUGUCUGGGGAGUCUCCUAGGGAAAUGCCAAGGAAGGGGAAUGGGGAGGGUCCCGAGGAAGUGAUCCCAAAGCCUAGCAGGCGAUCCUGAAACUGGCAGGCCCCGCUGAGCCUGGCCCAGCUUGAAACAGGCAGUGAGCAAGGUCGCACGGGACCUUUAGAGCAUGUGGCUGAGUAGGCCGGGCAGUGAGGGACAUGAGUCCGACCCCGGGGAGAGCACUCAGCUGGAGGGUCUGCGGGAGCUGGGGAGAGCGUCCUGUGUCCCGAAGAGUCACUGGGCUUUCCCUGGUCCACCACCUCAUGUUCAGCUUCACAGAAAAGGGCCAGUGGCUUGGUCCUGGUCAUUGCCAGCAUUCUCUAAUCAUUCAAAGGAAUGCGUUCAGAAAUACAGGGACUCGUUUCUGGAAAAGCAGGUCCAUUUCAGUGAGGAGUUACUGGGACCUUCCUAUGAGACCACAUGGGUGUUCGGUGCCAGUGCCAGCAACACAAAGAGGGCACCACACAAGUCCCAGUGGCCCCAGAGACAGACAGGCCAAUGAGUGCCCAGGAAGAAGCUGAGUGAGACAGAACUCUUGCAAGGGGACUCAGGAGAGAAAGCCUCCCAGACCUGAGACCUGGGGAUAGACCUGCAGAGAGCUGUGAGCUGUGCCUGUGGGCUGGCCAGCCAGCCCCUCCGGGCCCUCCGGUUUCACUCUGGCCUCAGCAACAUGUUGACCCACGUCUUUGGGGCUCCUCAGCCUGGAGCCCACAUGUACUUCUCUUUACCUGGCUAUGUCUUGAUAUUCCAGUCUCUCUCCACCUGGGAAGGGCCACCCGUCCUGGAAACACCUUUGAGGAAUAGGGGCAGCCAUAACUAGCCAGGCCCCUAGUACCAGCACUUGGCAGCGCGUCCCUGGGCUGGGAAGCUUCAUUUAGGGAGGUGCAGAGAACAGGGUUGGGUACUCCUGCUCUUGGUUUCCUCAACCUCUGCCCACGACCCCCAGGCUGGUGCCCCCCUCCCGAGACCCUUGGGGGAGCAGACACCUGCAGGACAUCGCGCCAGUCCUCCCGGGCUCCCCGCCUCUCUCUCAAGAGGCCCAGUGCUUUCUCGGGGCGCUGUACCUGCUCACCCACGAUACUAGAGUCCACUGUCAUCCCUUUCCAUCCUUUCGU